rnacentral:rRNA from 1 species
GCAAGUCGAGGGGUAACGAAAGUAGCUUGCUACUAGACGACGACCGGCGCACGGGUGAGUAACACGUAUGCAACCUACCUUUUACAGAGGGAUAGCCCAGAGAAAUUUGGAUUAAUACCUCAUAGUAUUUUUGAAUCGCAUGAUUUAGAGAUUAAAACUCCGGUGGUAAAAGAUGGGCAUGCGUUCUAUUAGUUAGUUGGUGAGGUAACGGCUCACCAAGACAAUGAUGCUUAGGGGGUCUGAGAGGAUAGUC